rnacentral:lncRNA from 1 species
CGGCAGCUCUGCACCAACGUGCCCCGGGUUGGAAAAUGUGAUUUGUGACAGAGAAGCUUGGGAAUAAUAAUGAAAACAUAAUUGCUCCAGAAGAGGCAGAGGAUGUUGACACAAACUUACAGACUGGGACUCCAAGGAUCAGCCAGAUGAAAUGCUAUGUGCAGAGUCUUCAUUUCCCAGCUCAGUGGUGGACAGCAGAGGACUCUAAGGUGGGUUGCCCUGAUUGGAGUCCCCCUUCAGCCACUUUAAGU